GACAGAGGGUGCAAACGUUGCUCGGAAUCACUGGGCGUAGAGGGCGUGUAGGCGGGAAGGAAAGUCGGGCGUGAAAUCCCUGGGCUCAACCCAGGAACUGCACUCGAAACUUCUUUUCUUGAGUGCCGGAGAGGAAAGCGGAAUUCCUGGUGUAGAGGUGAAAUUCGUAGAUAUCAGGAGGAACACCAGUGGCGAAGGCGGCUUUCUGGACGGUAACUGACGCUGAGACGCGAAAGCGUGGGGAGCAAACAGG
rnacentral:rRNA from 1 species